rnacentral:rRNA from 1 species
UUGAACGCUGGCGGCAGGCCUAACACAUGCAAGUCGAGCGGUAACACAGAGAGCUUGCUCUCGGGUGACGAGCGGCGGACGGGUGAGUAAUGUCUGGGAAACUGCCUGAUGGAGGGGGAUAACUACUGGAAACGGUAGCUAAUACCGCAUAACGUCGCAAGACCAAAGUGGGGGACCUUCGGGCCUCAUGCCAUCAGAUGUGCCCAGAUGGGAUUAGCUAGUAGGUGGGGUAACGGCUCACCUAGGCGACGAUCCCUAGCUGGUCUGAGAGGAUGACCAGCCACACUGGAACUGAGACACGGUCCAGACUCCUACGGGAGGCAGCAGUGGGGAAUAUUGCACAAUGGGCGCAAGCCUGAUGCAGCCAUGCCGCGUGUGUGAAGAAGGCCUUCGGGUUGUAAAGCACUUUCAGCGGGGAGGAAGGCGGUGAGGUUAAUAACCUCAUCGAUUGACGUUACCCGCAGAAGAAGCACCGGCUAACUCCGUGCCAGCAGCCGCGGUAAUACGGAGGGUGCAAGCGUUAAUCGGAAUUACUGGGCGUAAAGCGCACGCAGGCGGUCUGUCAAGUCGGAUGUGAAAUCCCCGGGCUCAACCUGGGAACUGCAUUCGAAACUGGCAGGCUAGAGUCUUGUAGAGGGGGGUAGAAUUCCAGGUGUAGCGGUGAAAUGCGUAGAGAUCUGGAGGAAUACCGGUGGCGAAGGCGGCCCCCUGGACAAAGACUGACGCUCAGGUGCGAAAGCGUGGGGAGCAAACAGGAUUAGAUACCCUGGUAGUCAACGCCGUAAACGAUGUCGAUUUGGAGGUUGUGCCCUUGAGGCGUGGCUUCCGGAGCUAACGCGUUAAAUCGACCGCCUGGGGAGUACGGCCGCAAGGUUAAAACUCAAAUGAAUUGACGGGGGCCCGCACAAGCGGUGGAGCAUGUGGUUUAAUUCGAUGCAACGCGAAGAACCUUACCUGGUCUUGACAUCCACAGAACUUUCCAGAGAUGGAUUGGUGCCUUCGGGAACUGUGAGACAGGUGCUGCAUGGCUGUCGUCAGCUCGUGUUGUGAAAUGUUGGGUUAAGUCCCGCAACGAGCGCAACCCUUAUCCUUUGUUGCCAGCGGUUCGGCCGGGAACUCAAAGGAGACUGCCAGUGAUAAACUGGAGGAAGGUGGGGAUGACGUCAAGUCAUCAUGGCCCUUACGACCAGGGCUACACACGUGCUACAAUGGCAUAUACAAAGAGAAGCGACCUCGCGAGAGCAAGCGGACCUCAUAAAGUAUGUCGUAGUCCGGAUUGGAGUCUGCAACUCGACUCCAUGAAGUCGGAAUCGCUAGUAAUCGUAGAUCAGAAUGCUACGGUGAAUACGUUCCCGGGCCUUGUACACACCGCCCGUCACACCAUGGGAGUGGGUUGCAAAAGAAGUAGGUAGCUUAACCUUCGGGAGGGCGCUUACCACUUUGUGAUUCAUGACUGGGGUG